UUAGGUUUAGGUUAUAAGUUUAGGUUUAGGUUAUAAGUGUAGGUUAUAGGUUUAGGUUUAAGUUAGGUUAUAGGUUAAGGUUUAGGGAAUUGAGAAUAGGUUACGAUUUAUGCUUAGGAAAUCGGGUUCGGGUUCAGGUUUAGGUUUGGGGUUUCAAGUUUAGGUUUAGGUUAAGGAGUUGAGAUUAGGAUUAGGUGUAGGUGUAGGUUUUGGGAUUUGAGAAUAGGUUUAGGUUAUAAGUAUAGGUUUAGGUUGGGUUAUAGGUUAAGGUUUAGGGAUUUGAGUUUAGGUUAAGGUUUAAGUUUAGGUUAAGGUCGUAAGUUUAGGUUUAGGUUAUAAGUAUAUGUUUAGGUUGGGUUAUAGGUUAAAGUUUAGGGAUUUGAGUUUAGGUUAAGUUUAGGUUUAGG